rnacentral:rRNA from 1 species
CCUACGGGCGGCUGCAGUGGGGAAUAUUGGGCAAUGGGCGCAAGCCUGACCCAGCAACGCCGCGUGAAGGAAGAAGGCUUUCGGGUUGUAAACUUCUUUCCCCAGGGACGAAGAAUGUCACGGUACCGGAGGAAUACGCCACCGCUAACCAUGCGCCAGCAGCCGGGGUUAUACGUAGGUGGCAAGCGUUAUCCGGAUUGAGUGGGUGUAAAGGGUGUGUAGGCGGCAGAGUAAGUCAGGUGUGAAAGCUCAGGGCUCAACCCUGGACCUGCAUUUGAAACUGGGUAUCUUGAGUGCUGGAGAGGCAAUCGGAAUUCCGGGUGUAGCGGUGGAAUGCGUAGAUAUACGGAGGAACACCAGUGGCGAAGGCGAAUUGCUGGACAGUAACUGACGCUGAGGCGCGAAAGCGUGGGGAGCAAACAGGAUUAGAUACCCGUGUAGUC